rnacentral:tRNA from 1 species
GGUUCCUUAGCUCAGUUGGUUAGAGCUCCCGGCUCAUAACCGGACGGUCCUGGGUUCGAGUCCCCGAGGAACCACCA